rnacentral:rRNA from 1 species
GACGAACGCUGGCGGCGUGCUUAACACAUGCAAGUCGAGGGGGUUCGUGGGGCAACUCAACGGAUCGACCGGCGAACGGGUGCGUAACACGUGAGCGACCUGCCGUACUGUGGGGAUAGCCGGCCCAACGGCCGGGUAAUACCGCAUACGCUUGUCUUGGGGCAUCCUGGGACAAAGAAAGCUCUGGGGGCAACCCUGGGGCGCGAGGACGAGGGGCUCGCGGCCUAUCAGCUUGUGGUGGGGAACGCCACCAAGGCAUCGACGGUAGCUGGUCUGAGAGGACGAUCAGCCACACUGGGACUGAGACACGGCCCAGACUCCUACGGGAGGCAGCAGUAGGGAAUCUUGCGC